rnacentral:tRNA from 1 species
AUCUCAGUGGUAGAGAACUUGUCUCACAUGCAAGAGACCCUGGGUUCAAUUCCUAG